GUUCUCCAUUGUUAUACUAACACUUAGUUAAUUUACAUGCAUGUUCAUUUACCACAUGGCUUUGCGAGUCUUCUGGAUCAUUGGUUUCACAUUGACAAAACUGACGCUAGUACUAUUCAUCACAGCUGUGCUCCUGGAAAUGUAGGUGGAGUUCACUGCUUGAAGAUAACUGUUUAUCGCACUGCUCCCAGCAAUAAAGGUCACUAAAAUGGGUGUCUGCAAUGUGCUGGCUGAGGUUCUCAAAAAUCACUGUUUUAUAACAGUAUUUACAAAUGUAGGGAUCCUCUUCAUGCAGUUUGCUGUGUUCAAUCAGAAUCAUGUGGGUAGAGAAACUUUCCUUGCAUAUUUGACACACAUUUGAAUCAGUACCUUUGUGCUUCGGCAUCAUAUGCUGCUUUAUAGCAGAAAAAUAUUUGCUGUUGAACUCACAAAGUUCGCCUUUAUAGAAGUCACUGCUAUUAGCUCUCAGUAAAGGCCAGUUCUGCUGGGCAGGCACAUUCAAAGCUUGGCUCCUGUCAAGAAUUUUGCAAACUUUAGCUGGUGGCUCCUCAUCAGUUUGGUCUUGGAACCUCUCAGAGGAAUUGUUUUCUGUCUCUAUAUCAUAACCUUCAGAAAGUGCAUGCACUUCUGCAACAACUGGAACAUCUUCAGCAGUGUGAACUUCUAUGGGACUCUCCUCUUGAGUGUGUUGGUUGACCAGUUCAGGUUCCUCAGAAGAAGACAUCGAGCCAACGAUUCAUUAGCACAUUACUGGAAGAAGCAAGGAACAAGGACGUGGGUUAGGGAGAGGGGAGGUGAUAUAGGGAGGAAAAUACAUCCAAUAAAAUAUGCCCUAGUCAGCUCCCACAACAACUGAGCGGUUUUCAUCCUGUGGGGAAAUAUUGGAAAGUGGUGCAAAAUGGAAAUAUGAGAAUUAUCUUAGCUAAUUGGUGAAGAAGAUGGUAUACUUCACACCUUUCCAUCAAGAGCUGGCCUUGGUGGGGCAUAAUUCCCUGUUCCUUCUUACCCCAUGCACCUGUUGCUGAACAUUUGCAGUCAGAUUGGUAUGCAAUGGAGAAAGUGAAAGGAUCCCUGGGAAUGGAGGAGAAAUGCUGACAGCUUCUACUACUACACUCCUCACUGCAGGCUCAUUUUUAUCAAAAUUCUUUUUUUUUUAAGAUUUUGUUUUUAUUUAUUUGACAGAGAGUGCACAAGCAGUGAGAGCAGCAGGCAGAGGGAGAGGAAGAAGCAGGCUCUCCACUGAGCAGAGAGCCUGACAUGGCGCUCUAUCCCAGGACCCUGGGAUCAUGACCUGCGCCAAAGGUAGACACUUAACCAACUGAGCCACCCAGGUGCCCUGUAUCAAAAUUCUUUUUAACAAGUGAAGUGAAUUCUGAAUACAUUUCACAAGUGUGGAACUACAAUUCCUGAUUACACCUACUGUGAAUACUCUCCCCCCAGAAUAGUCUUAGUCUAUUAUAGUCAUUAUUACAUGUAUUAGGAUCUUGAGGAUGUAUCUAAAAAUCACAAUAAUGGGAAAUAAAGGUCCAAUAGAACAAAGAAUGGGCA
ensembl:lncRNA